rnacentral:rRNA from 1 species
UACGUAGGGUGCGAGCGUUGUCCGGAAUUAUUGGGCGUAAAGGGCUCGUAGGCGGUUUGUCGCGUCGGGAGUGAAAUCCACUGGCUUAACUGGUGGCUUGCUUUCGAUACGGGCAGACUGGAGGUAUGCAGGGGAGAACGGAAUUCCUGGUGUAGCGGUGAAAUGCGCAGAUAUCAGGAGGAACACCGGUGGCGAAGGCGGGUCUCUGGGCCGAUACUGACACUGAGGAGCGAAAGCGUGGGGAGCGAACAGG